rnacentral:rRNA from 1 species
GACGAACGCUAGCGGCGUGCCUAAUACAUGCAAGUAGAACGCUGAAGAGAGGAGCUUGCUCUUCUUGGAUGAGUUGCGAACGGGUGAGUAACGCGUAGGUAACCUGCCUGGUAGCGGGGGAUAACUAUUGGAAACGAUAGCUAAUACCGCAUAAAAUGGAUUAUCGCAUGAUAAUCCAUUGAAAGGUGCAAAUGCAUCACUACCAGAUGGACCUGCGUUGUAUUAGCUAGUUGGUGGGGUAACGGCUCACCAAGGCGACGAUACAUAGCCGACCUGAGAGGGUGAUCGGCCACACUGGGACUGAGACACGGCCCAGACUCCUACGGGAGGCAGCAGUAGGGAAUCUUCGGCAAUGGACGGAAGUCUGACCGAGCAACGCCGCGUGAGUGAAGAAGGUUUUCGGAUCGUAAAGCUCUGUUGUAAGAGAAGAACGAGUGUGAGAGUGGAAAGUUCACACUGUGACGGUAUCUUACCAGAAAGGGACGGCUAACUACGUG